AAAGUGGUAUACUUUGUGGAUAUAACAUUAAGUAAAGAUGGAGUAAUUGAAGAAUGCCAUUGCGAUUGUGCUGCAGGCAGUGGUACUCAAGCAUGUUGCAAACAUGUCUCUGUAUUGUUGGAUGACAUGUGAACCCGCAAAUCCACAUGGCAUUGAAUGGGAUCGUUACACCUAUGUAGAUAGGACUCCAAUAGAUAUUUUACUAGAGAAGCUAUUAUUAAAAAUAUUAUAUCUGAACAAAUUCAGGAAGUGAGAAGAAUACAAGAGCCCAAAGUGAUUCCUCUGAGUGGCAUGAAAGAUCAUGCAGGAUUACUGCCAGUAUGUUUCAUUUAGUGUGCCACAGUAAAACAUAUGAGUACCAAAAAUAUAUGUAAUCGAUAUGAUUUUGGCCCCAAAGCUGUGCAGACUAUGUUAGUUGUGCAUAGUAAAAUCCAAGAAACUAUUUCCAUUGCCAAAUAUGAUAGAGAUUAUGGACUAAAAAUAAAAAAAGUGGAUUCAUUAUAUCAUUUGAAUAUCCUUUUCUGGCUGUUUCUCCAGACGGUAUAUUGGGUAAAGAUACUAUUGUUGAGGUUAAGUGUCCAUAUGCUGCUAGAUAUUAUAAAAUAACCUCUGUGACUG